AUGGACACUCUGACAGAGCUUUGGAGGCUGUCCAGAUUUCUGUUGAUACCAGAACAUACAAUCAACACUACUACAUGUUCCAACAGCUUGGCUGGUCUUACAGUUGUAUCACUGUGGGUGACUUUUGGUGGAGGAACCAAACUCAUCAUUAACUCUGGCACCAUGGUCAGGCCCUCAGUCUCUCUGCUUCCCCCCUCCUCUGAGCAGCUCUCUGGGGGCUCGGCCACGCUGGCCUGCCUGCUGACCGGCUACUCUCCUCAGGGAGCCGUGGUGAGCUGGCAGGUGGACGGUACGGAGGUGACGGAGGGGGUCCUGAGCAGCUCAGAGGAGGAGAAGAGCGGCCGCUACAGCAGCAGCAGCACCCUGAGCCUGAGCCAGGAGCGCUGGAUGGAAGGAGAGCUGUACUCCUGCAGGGUCCUCCAUCAGGGCCACAGCCAGACCCAGUCCCUCCACAGGAGCCAGUGUAAGGGCUAGAGGGGCCGGCUGAAGCCCAGGACAGGAGCUCUGUGUGGGGGGGAGCAGCUCUGAUCAAUAGCAGUUUGAAUGCUUGUAGAGGAAACUGAAGCUUUGUGUGACAGAGAACAACACUGCUGUAAAGUGUUGGACAACAACAACUUAGAGAGGAAUGUGUGUCGCUCAGCAG